CAAGUCUCUUAAUGGGCAGAGAAGUUAUCGAUCUUCGCCAUGACAGUGCCAGAUCACGUGCCUAUCUGUAGCCAUCCGGCAAAAAUGGAGAAUCCUUCAUUGUCGCCUAGAACUAGAGCAUCGAGGUGAUUUUAAGGCGUUCGUCAUGAAGACAGGUUGACAAAUCCAGACAUCGUUACGCUUGACACACGUCUUAUGAUACAUAAAUAAAGGAAUGACAGGGGUGACUUUAAUGUAUA